rnacentral:rRNA from 1 species
UACGUAGGGGGCUAGCGUUGUCCGGAAUCAUUGGGCGUAAAGCGCGCGUAGGUGGCCUCAUAAGUCCGCUGUGAAAGUCAAAGGCUCAACCUUUGAAAGCCGGUGGAUACUGUGAGGCUAGAGUACGGAAGAGGCGAGUGGAAUUCCUGGUGUAGCGGUGGAAUGCGCAGAUAUCAGGAGGAACACCAAUAGCGAAGGCAGCUCGCUGGGACGUUACUGACACUGAGGCGCGAAAGCGUGGGGGAGCGAACAGG